AUGUAAACUCCAGCUCCUGGACUAGAGAGUGAAUGCAUGGGGCAAAGAUACUGGAGGGCCAGAGAAAGCAAGCUUGAAACAGAGAGGAAUGGGUCACUUUGGUGGAGGAAAUUGGGAGAUGGGGUCUUGCUAUGUUGCCCAGGCUGGUCUGGAACUCCUGAGCUCAAUGGAUCUUCCCACCUUUUCCUCCCAAAGUGCUGGGAUUACAGGUGUGAGCCACCACGCCCAGCCUGGUAUAGAGCUUUGUCUAGGACACUUAUGGGGGCAUAAGACCAAAAAGGUUGGUGCAGUCUGUGAAGACCCUUGAAAGCCUGUCCUUCUCCUCAGCUCCACCCACUUCAUAGCCUUACCAAAAGUGCUGCACAGCCAGAAAGAGGAAGUCUCCCCUGCUGAGUGUGCAAGAGGAAGCACAAGAAGGCUCUGAGGGCCUGUGAGCCAUAAUGACUGAUUUCACCCAUGAGCCAAUUGCAGAGGCAACAGAAGACCAGCGCACC
rnacentral:antisense_RNA from 1 species